GAGCCGGUAAAACUGGAUCGGCCAUAGAGUUGUGAGCCGGAAACCCUAAUCCACCUCUUUAAAUACCGCUUCUUCCAUCUCCAGCAAUUCGCCAUCUUCGAUCGACGCCCAGCCCUUUUUUCGCCGCUUGGAGUUUUGUUUCUCUUUCUUUUGGGUGUCGUGUUCAUCUCGGGCUGCAGAGAGAUCCAUUGUUGGGAGCGUGAUGAUAUGACAAGUUGGCUGCGCCGCCGUUGUCUCUGCUAUCUCAGCUGUACUGCAGCAGCUCGGGUUCAUCUGUUUUAGCACGCGGCUAUCUUCGAACAGCCCGGCAACAUCUAGGCGACCCAGCGAGAUGGUGCACAACGCUGCUGCACGUCAACCUCGAUUGGGACGUCGACUGAAUUUGGUGACCUGCUACGUUGCCUCAGCGGCGGCACAAAGAAGCAGCCCGAUAAAACGACAUGUUUUUUUUGUUCUGUUGGAUGAUAUUGUUGUUCUUUGUAAAAUUCAUGUUUGUCCAUCUUGAACAGGAUUGUGAGUCGUUAUGGUCUACGUUGGUUUGAGAAUACAAUUCUUAAUCCUAAAUAUUUUUCUAGAAAUUUAGGCCAAUUUUAACAUUGAUAAUAAUUAUUAUUAUUGAA